rnacentral:rRNA from 1 species
AGUGAACGCUGGCGGUAGGCCUAACACAUGCAAGUCGGACGGCAGCACAGUAAGAGCUUGCUCUUACGGGUGGCGAGUGGCGGACGGGUGAGGAAUACAUCGGAAUCUACUUUUUCGUGGGGGAUAACGUAGGGAAACUUACGCUAAUACCGCAUACGACCUACGGGUGAAAGCAGGGGAUCUUCGGACCUUGCGCGAUUGAAUGAGCCGAUGUCGGAUUAGCUAGUUGGCGGGGUAAAGGCCCACCAAGGCGACGAUCCGUAGCUGGUCUGAGAGGAUGAUCAGCCACACUGGAACUGAGACACGGUCCAGACUCCUACGGGAGGCAGCAGUGGGGAAUAUUGGACAAUGGGCGCAAGCCUGAUCCAGCCAUACUGCGUGGGUGAAGAAGGCCUUCGGGUUGUAAAGCCCUUUUGUUGGGAAAGAAAAGCAGCAGGUUAAUACCCCGCUGUUCUGACGGUACCCAAAGAAUAAGCACCGGCUAACUUCGUG